AUAGUAUGAUGUGAUAGAGAAUGUGUGUAUGUAUAGGUGUAGGCGUAAUCAGGUAAAAUAGGGUUAUAGGUAGUAUGAAAUAAAGAGGGAGAGAUAGGGAGAGAGAAUAAGAUGGUAUUAUAUGUGAGGGAAUAAAGGAAGUAGGAUAAAUAAGGAGAGUUGGUAACAGGAUAUGUGUAGAAAUAGAUUGGUAGGAUUUAAGUAGAGGAAUGUGUGUAAAUAAUAUAUUGAAUAGUAUGGUAUAAUAGAGGAAAGUAGUACGUGGAUAGUAUGAUGCGAUAAAGAGUAUAUGGAUAUUACGGUUUGAUGAAGGGUAUGUGGCUAUUACGAUGCAGAUAUUGUGUAUGAUAGUAUUAUGGGUAUGUGUGGGUAGUUAGAAUAGGGAGAUGGUGCAUGGAUGGACAUGAAAUAGUGAGAAUUAUACAUGGGAUAGUAUAACAGCUGGCGUUUUUGUGGAUAGUUAGGAUGGUUGGUGUGCGUAAAGUCAGAGAAAUAAGAGAUAUAAAGUGGUAAGGAAUGGGUGUGAGAUAGAUAGGUAUUGAUGAUUGAUAGGGACUGAGUGUAGGACAUUCAUGAAUUAUAUGGUGUGUGGAUAGAUAUGAAGUAAUGAAGAAUAAUCUUGGAAUAGUAUUGAUAUGUAUGUUGUAUGGGAUAGGGGGAUAUUAACCAUAG